rnacentral:rRNA from 1 species
GACGAACGCUGGCGGCGUGCUUAACACAUGCAAGUCGAACGGAAAGGCCCUGCUUUUGUGGGGUGCUCGAGUGGCGAACGGGUGAGUAACACGUGAGUAACCUGCCCUUGACUUUGGGAUAACUUCAGGAAACUGGGGCUAAUACCGGAUAGGAGCUCCUGCUGCAUGGUGGGGGGUGGAGAGUUUCGGCGGUUGGGGAUGGACUCGCGGCUUAUCAGCUUGGUGGUGGGGUAGUGGCUUACCAAGGCUUUGACGGGUAGCCGGCCUGAGAGGGUGACCGGCCACAUUGGGACUGAGAUACGGCCCAGACUCCUACGGGAGGCAGCAGUGGGGAAUAUUGCACAAUGGGCGGAAGCCUGAUGCAGCAACGCCGCGUGCGGGAUGACGGCCUUCGGGUUGUAAACCGCUUUCGCCUGUGACGAAGCGUGAGUGACGGUAAUGGGUAAAGAAGCACCGGCUAACUACGUG